UGGGGAAUUUUGGACAAUGGGCGAAAGCCUGAUCCAGCAAUGCCGCGUGUGUGAAGAAGGCCUUCGGGUUGUAAAGCACUUUUGUCCGGAAAGAAAUCCUUGGCUCUAAUACAGUCGGGGGAUGACGGUACCGGAAGAAUAAGCACCGGCUAACUACGUGCCAGCAGCCGCGGUAAUACGUAGGGUGCAAGCGUUAAUCGGAAUUACUGGGCGUAAAGCGUGCGCAGGCGGUUUGCUAAGACCGAUGUGAAAUCCCCGGGCUCAACCUGGGGAACUGCAUUGGUGACUGGCAGGCUAGAGUAUGGCAGAGGGGGGUAGAAUUCCACGUGUAGCAGUGAAAUGCGUAGAGAUGUGGAGGAAUACCGAUGGCGAAGGCAGCCCCCUGGGCCAAUUACUGACGCUCAUGCACGAAAAGCGUGGGGAGCAAAACAGGAUUNGAUACCCUGGUAGUCCACGCCCUAAAACGAUGUCAACUAGUUGUUGGGAUUCAUUUCCUUAGUAACGUAGCUAACGCGUGAAGUUGACCGCCUGGGGAGU
rnacentral:rRNA from 1 species